UACGUAGGUGGCAAGCGUUGUCCGGAUUUACUGGGCGUAAAGCGCGUGUAGGCAGCUUGGCAAGUCGGAUGUGAAAGCCCACGGCUCAACCGUGGAAGCGCAUCCGAAACUGCUUCGCUCGAGUCUCGGAGAGGAAGGUGGAAUGCUUGGUGUAGAGGUGAAAUUCGUAGAUAUCAAGCAGAACACCUGCGGCGAAGGCGGCCUUCUGGACGAUGACUGACGCUGAGACGCGAAAGCGUGGGGAGCAAACAGG
rnacentral:rRNA from 1 species